GCCAGACUCCUACGGGAGGCAGCAGUGAGGAAUAUUGGUCAAUGGUCGGGAGACUGAACCAGCCAAGCCGCGUGAGGGAUGAAGGUACAGAGUAUCGUAAACCUCUUUUGUCAGGGAACAAAGGCGGGGACGUGUCCCCGGAUGAGUGUACCUGAAGAAAAAGCAUCGGCUAACUACGUGCCAGCAGCCGCGGUAAUACGUAGGGGGCAAGCGUUAUCCGGAUUUACUGGGUGUAAAGGGAGCGUAGACGGCGUGCCAAGUCUGAUGUGAAAGGCCGGGGCUCAACCCCGGGACUGCAUUGGAAACUGGCAUGCUGGAGUGCCGGAGGGGCAAGCGGAAUUCCUAGUGUAGCGGUGAAAUGCGUAGAUAUUAGGAGGAACACCGGUGGCGAAGGCGGCUUGCUGGACGGUAACUGACGUUGAGGCUCGAAAGCGUGGGGAGCAAACAGGAUUAGAUACCCUUGUA
rnacentral:rRNA from 1 species